UAAUAUGAAGUAAUUUACACUUAGUUUCGACCUAAUUUUUGAUAAUUAUUUAUCCUUAUU
rnacentral:tRNA from 1 species